GGGAGUUUGGGAAAUGAGGUUGUCGGGAAGAACCAUAGUUCAGUUGGGUCGGAGAUUGAAGCUCCGGCGGCGAGUACUGAAGCUCCAGCAGUGAAUACUGAAGCUCCGGCGGCGAAGAGUGAAGCUCAGGCGGCGAAGAGUGAAGCUCCAGUACUGAAGACUGAAGCUCCGUCGGCGAAGACUGAAGCUCCGGCGACGAAGACUGACGCUCCAGUUCCAAAGACUGAAGCUCCGGCGGGGAAGAAUUCCAUGGCAAAAGGAGUAUUGGGGUCGAAGAACAUCACGGAGAAUAAAGCUCCGGCGGCGAAGAAUUCC
rnacentral:misc_RNA from 1 species